rnacentral:rRNA from 1 species
GAUGAACGCUGGCGGCGUGCCUAAUACAUGCAAGUCGAACGAUGAAGAGAGGAGCUUGCUCUUCUUGGAUGAGUUGCGGACGGGUGAGUAACGCGUAGGUAACCUGCCUUGUAGCGGGGGAUAACUUUUGGAAACGAUAGCUAAUACCGCAUAACAUUGGAAGACACAUGUCACUUAAUUGAAAGGGGCAUUUGCUCCACUAUAAGAUGGACUUGCGUUGUAUUAAGUAGUAGGUGAGGUGAAGGGCUUACUAAGCGACGAUACCUAGGCGGACUGAGAGGGGGAUCGGCCACACUGGGAAUGGGAACCGGGCCAGACUCCCUAGGGAGGGAAGAAGAGGGGAACUUCGGGAAUUGGGCGAAAGCUGACCGGGCAACGGCGGGGGAGGGAAUGAAGGUUUCGGGAUGGAAAGCUCUUUUGAUAGGCAAAGAAGAGUUGUGUAAGUAAAAGUGCACGUUGUGACGGUAGCUAACCAGAAAGCGACGGCUAACUACGUG